rnacentral:rRNA from 1 species
GGAACACCGAUGGCGAAGGCAGAUCUCUGGGCCGUGACUGACGCUGAGGAGCGAAAGGGUGGGGAGCAAACAGGCUUAGAUACCCUGGUAGUCCACCCCGUAAACGUUGGGAACUAGUUGUGGGGGCCUUUCCACGGUCUCCGUGACGCAGCUAACGCAUUAAGUUCCCCGCCUGGGGAGUACGGCCGCAAGGCUAAAACUCAAAGGAAUUGACGGGGACCCGCACAAGCGGCGGAGCAUGCGAAUUAAUUCGAUGCAACGCGAAGAACCUUACCAAGGCUUGACAUACACCGGAAACGUCCAGAGAUGGUCGCCCCUUUUUGGUCGGUGUACAGGUGGUGCAUGGUUGUCGUCAGCUCGUGUCGUGAGAUGUUGGGUUAAGUCCCGCAACGAGCGCAACCCUCGUUCUAUGUUGCCAGCACGUUAUGGUGGGAACUCAUGGGAUACUGCCGGGGUCAACUCGGAGGAAGGUGGGGAUGACGUCAAAUCAUCAUGCCCCUUAUGUCUUGGGCUUCACGCAUGCUACAAUGGCCGGUACAAUGGGCUGCGAUACCGUGAGGUGGAGCGAAUCCCAAAAAGCCGGUCCCAGUUCGGAUCGUAGUCUGCAACUCGACUACGUGAAGUCGGAGUCGCUAGUAAUCGCAGAUCAGCAACGCUGCGGUGAAUACGUUCCCGGGUCUUGUACACAC